UGACAAUGCUUGGGUAGCAGAAGAUGGAGAUGAAAAUCAGCUUGGAUAGUGGAAGCCCAAGCAGAGGCUGUGUUAUUUGCCGGAAAUCACUGCAUGCAAAUUGUCUCCGGUUUAAUUUAUACCCAAGUUGGAUUUAAGGGAGGGAUUUUUAAACAUCCUGAGAUAAAAUCAAACAUAUACUGCCAAAAAAUAUGGAUUUGCUUGGGCCAAAAAAAGACCUGUUCCUAGAUCAUAUGAUUUUGCAUCCUAAAGAGGCUCGUGUAUGAAUAACCUUCUAAAGAAAGGUAUCCAACAUUGCAGCAGAUUCCAGAGAAACUAAAGGGAAACAAGGAAAACGGUGUAGGGAGUAGAAUGUGUCCGAGCUAUUGCUCUGCUUGGAAUUUUGAGGAGGGAGAUGAGCUCACAUUAGUCCCAGGUGUUGUACAGAGAGCUUAUGAAUAUAGCAUAAUUCAAUUAAUCAAACGGACGCUUAAUUUGGUAAAUUCUGUUUAAUUCUUUUUCAUGUCGUUAAAUCUUCUUCAUGUCCUUUUGCAUUAUAACAUCUUUGUGUUGUUGAAUUGAACUACUUAACUCCUAUCAAGUGACUUGUGGCUGAAAUAACCAAGUAGCUACCUUUGUGUUUUUUGUUCAUUGGUUUUGUAUUUUCCUGUAAUGACAUGAAAUUUACAGAUAGCAUGAUGUUUACUCAAUUAACAUAUGUUUAGGGAGUUCUUUCUAUAUUGCUAAUCAACGAAACUCACACUUAUUUAUAGUUGUAUCUUGGAAGUGUGUGGUUUGCUUAAAAGUUUAUAUAUGUAAAGUCAAUAUGUAUGACUUUGCUAAAAUCUGAUUAUGGGGAAAUAUAAAUACUGCAGCAUAUUCAAUGAUUACUGAUCUUUAUUAUAGUGUAUCCAAUGAAGUUUAGAAAUUUAACAAAUAAAUUUAUUUAUAGCAAACAGUCAGGUGAGCUUGGGAUUCUGUUGCCAUUUGAGAUCAUUUAGUAUUUUUAUGUGCGGGUUAAAGUGGGCAUAACAUAAGACUUUGGGUGAUUUUUUUCCGUUAUAGUAUAUCUUUUCUUAAAGGAAAUAUUCACUCUGUUAAAGCUAGACUCUAGAAUUAUAUUGUUCAUUCGCCUUUGAAGACCAAAUAAUUAAACGACUUGGUUGUUGGCUUAAAGUUGUAAAUAGAUAUUUCAAAUUAAAAGAAUGGAGGAAAAAUAUGUGUAAUCUACCCAUAGAUAGGUAGAAAAGAAGCCACACUUCAACCAUGAUUCGUAAG